rnacentral:rRNA from 1 species
AAUCUUCCGCAAUGGACGAAAGUCUGACGGAGCGAUGCCGCGUGAGUGAUGAAGGUCUUCGGAUCGUAAAACUCUGUUGUUAGGGAAGAACAAGUAUCGGAGUAAUAUGCCGGUACCUUGCCGGUACCUACCCAGAAAGCCGCGGCGAACGACGUGCCAGCAGCCGCGGUGAUACGUAGGGGGCAAGUGUUGUCCGGAAUUAUUGGGCGUAAAGGGAACGCAGGCGGUUAUUUAAGUCUGAUGUAAAAUCUUGUGGCUUAACCACAAGCGGUCAUUGGAAACUGGAUAACUUGAGUACAGAAGAGGAGAGUGGAAUUCCACGUGUAGCGGUGAAAUGCGUAGAGAUGUGGAGGAACACCAGUGGCGAAGGCGGCUCUCUGGUCUGUAACUGACGCUGAGGUGCGAAAGCGUGGGUAGCGAACA